AUAGUUUGAUCCUGKKUCACGAUGAACGCUGGCGGUCUGCUUAACACAUGCAAGUCGAAGGAAUCCUUCACGAUUURKUGGCGGACGGGUGAGUAACWCSUGAGAAUCUGCUCUCUCGUGGGGACAACAGCGGGAAACUGCUGCUAAUACCCAAUGUGCCGGAAGGGGAAAGAUUUACGCCUGAGAAUGAGCUCGCGGYCAAUUACGCUUAGUUGGUGGGGUAAAGGCCUACCAAGCGGCRAUCGGUAGCUGGYCUGARAGGAUGAGCAGCCACACUGGGACUGAGACACGGCCCCACUCCUACGGGAGGCAGCAUUGGGGAAUUUUCCGCAAUGGGCGCAAGCCUGACGGAGCAGACCGCGUGGGGGAGGAAGGCUCUUGGGUUGUAAACCCCUUUUCUCASGGAAGAACACAUGACKGUACCUGAGGAAUCAGCCUCKGCUAACUCCGUGCCWSCWGCCGCGGAAA
rnacentral:rRNA from 1 species